GCGAGGGUUGCCAAGCCAGGUCAAAGGCGCUGGGUUCAGGGCCCAGUCUCGUAGAAGUUCGCCGGUUCGAAUCUUUACAACCUCUCA
rnacentral:tRNA from 1 species